GUCUUUCCUAAUUUUUCAGCACAUAACUGGACAACAUACAAUUAAAUGAUUUUACCAUUACAUUGAACUCUGAGUUUCUGUCAACUCUUAUAUCAUGUGUAUAUCAUGUUCUAUUUAAGUUUCUGUUCAUUUUAGACAGCAGCGUGUGAACGGGACUUUUAUUUUGGUGUGGUGGCGUGACGUCAUAAGGCUGCGGCGCGCUCUCGCGUCUGUUAUGACUCGACUGAAGAAAGGUUUGUGUUUAAAGCUUUUAAAGUGCAGAAACCGUUCAGUCAACGCUAAAGUUGUAUAAACUCGGUAGAAUUUAAUGUUUAUUGUUGACUGUAAGUUAAUGAACUGCAGCUUUAUCUAAAAUGUGUGUAUUUCUAAAGAUUAUCUUUGUGAGUAAAUCUACACUCGAUCUAGUUUCACUCCGUAUCGUGCUUCAGUUUGUCGUAAACACGAAUUGAGUCGCUGGCUUUUAAACGCGAGUCAGUUUAAUCAGCGCAUUCUGCUCAAAACCGUCUAAUUCAACACAAGCGUAACGAAAGAGGAAAUAUUUUCAUAAAAGUGCAGUGAAAGUCAUCAGAUACCAAACAGAAGUCAUUCAUGUUACCUUUCAUUAGAACUUCAUUCAUUCAUUACGUACUAGUUUUGAGUGUUUUUGUCUAAGUUAGCUCAUUUAGGAGUGUGUACACUUGCAACAUAUUGCUAUUUUAAUUUGGAUUAUUUUAUUUAUAAUUAUUAUUUUAUUAUUAUAUUUAAUAUAAAUAUUUUGACAGUUCUGCAGCUGUUACCUAAUUCAUUUGCUUAAAUAAGGACUACAUUAUUAUGUAAUUAUUUGUCCCAUUUUUAUCCAAACACCCAGAAAAACUCCUGCUGAAGCGACUGAGAUCCACCUGACACACUGUGAUAAAGAUGGCGUUUAUUAAAGAGGAGAGUGAAGACAUUAAGAUUAAAGACGUAUUCAGCAUGAAAGAAGAAGAUACUGAGACACGAAUGAAGAUGGCGUUUAUUACAGAGGAGAGUGAAGACAUGAGGACUGAAGAAACAUUCAGCACGAAACGAGAAGAUACGCAGACACAAACAAACCUGGUGUUUAUUAAAGACGAGAGUGAAAACAUUAGGAUCGAAGACGUGUUCAGCAUCACAUGUGAAGAUAUAGAGACACAAACGUCUAUUCGAGAGAAGAAUAAAGGCAUGAAGACACAAACGUCUAUUAGAGAGAAGAGAGAAGACACGAAGAAGAAGAAACCAUUCAGAGUCAAGCAUGAAGAUGCUGAGACACAAACAGGUGGAACCACUAUAUGGAGGCAUUCAGCAUGGAACCAUCAUCUGCACAGUUCACACUGCAUCUAAGAAGAAAAACAGAAAUAUGAUGUGAGAUUGUACCCUGUUAGUAAUUUUUUUAGAAUUUGUAUUUAUUUCUUUCUUUCUUGUUGUUGUUAUGAUUGUUAUUCAUUGGCAAUUUAAAAAAAAAGAAAAAUAUUACCCAGAUGCAGUGCUCCUCUUUUUGGACUCCUCCUUUUUGUCCACAGACAGAACAAUACUCUUCCCUUGACACUGCAAUUUUUUUUUAAGUUAAUCAGAGUAUACUGUAAUUCUGAGUACAAUACAAGUAAACAACCAUAAUUUCAUAAUUCUUUUGAAAAUAAUACCUGAUGCCAGCAUUGGGGAAGUUCUCCACCACCUGUUUGGCCAUCUACACAGCAGUACACAGCAGUAAUGAAAACCCCACAGUAGCAACACCGUCAUCUGUACUCUUUUCUGUCAUUACCUGCAUCACAAAGACGCCACAGCUCACACAGUCUUCCUGAAACGUGUGACGUAUUGUGCUGGGCUUCCAUUUUAGGUUUAUGCAGUCCUCUCUUGCAUGUUGGUUCCUUCUCAUUUUGAAGAAUUCACUAAAGUUGUUAAAAUACAUUGAAUCAAUGUUUUGUGAUAGUGUUCCAUAAUUUUAUGAUGGACCUUAAUAGUCACAGGAUGUUGGGCAGGGGGUGGAUCAGAGCAUAAUGUACCUGAAUCUGUGACAUGCCUGUGAGGCUUUCUUCAUUUCAGCAGCACCUCGUUGACACAAAGAUAGUUUCGGAUGUAGCAUGUAUGAACUAG
ensembl:lncRNA